GAUUCUUUUUUUAUAUAGUUUAAUUUAAAACAUUAUAUUUUCAAUGUAAAAAUAAAUACUAUUAUUUUAUAA
rnacentral:tRNA from 1 species